UCCGGUUGAUCCCGCCGGAGACUACCUCUAUCAGGCUUCUGCUAAGCCAUGCGAGGCGUAUGCCGCAAGGCAUGCCGUACUGCUCAGUAACACGUAGUUAACCUGCCCUUGGGACGGGAAUAACCCCGAGAAAUUGGGACUAAUACCCGAUAGAUGAGGAAUGCUGGAACGCAUCCUCGUCGAAAGCAGCAAUGUACCCAAGGAUGGGACUGCGGCGGAUUAGGUCGUUGUCAGGAUAAAAGCCUAACAAGCCUGUAAUCCGUACGGGUCGUGAGAGCGAUAGCCCGGAGAUGCGCUCUGAGACAUGAGUGCAGGCCCUACGGGGCGCAGCAGGCGAGAAAACUUCGCAAUGGAUGAAAGUCUGACGAGGGAAACCUGAGUGACAUCGCAAUGCGGUGUCUUUUGUCUACUGUAAAUAGGUAGGCGAAUAAGUGGUGGGUAAGACGGUUGCCAGCCGCCGCGGUAAUAACCGCGCCACAAGGGGUAGUCACGAUUAUUGGGCCUAAAGCGCCCGUAGCUGGCUUGGUGUGUCUCUGGUGAAAUCCAACAGCCAACUGUUGGAAUGGCUAGAGAUACUACCAGGCUUGGGACCGAGAGAGGGUAGGGGUACUGUACGGGUAGGGGUAAAAUCCUUUAAUCCAUACAGGGCCACCUGUGGCGAAGGCGCCUACCUGGAACGGGUCCGACAGUGAGGGGCGAAAGCGUAGGGAGCGAUCGGGAUUAGAUACCCCGGUAGUCUACGCUGUAAACGAUGCCCAUAUGGUGUCGCAGAACCUUCGAGGUCCUGCGGUGCCGGAGCGAAGGUGUUAAAUGGGCCGCCUGGGGAGUACGGUCGCAAGACUGAAACUUAAGGGAAUUGGCGGGGAGCACACCAGGGGUGGAGGCUGCGGUUUAAUUGGAUUCAACGCCAGGAACCUUACCCGAGAAGAGAGCAGAUUGAUGGUCAGCCUGAAGGGCUUACCUGACACGCUCAGAAGUGCUGCAUGGCCGUCGUCAGUUCGUGCCGUGAGGUGUCGUGUUAAGUCACGAAACGAACGAGACCCGUGCCGUUAGUUGCUAAUGUUUUGUACGCAAAACAUGCACUCUAGCGGGACCGCUGCUGCUAAAGCAGAGGAAGGAGCGGGCGACGGCAGGUCAGUAUGGCCUGAAUUUUCGGGGUUACACGCGGCCUACAAUGCGUAGGACAAUGGGAUGCAACACCGUAAGGUGAAGCCAAUCUCUUAAACCUGCGCCCAGUUCAGAUCGAGGGCUGCAACUCGCCCUCGUGAAGCCGGAAUCCCUAGUAAGCGAAGGUCAUCAUCUUUCGCUGAAUACGUCCCUGCUCCUUGCACACACCGCCCGUCAAGUCAACCGAGUGAAGGCUUGGUGAGGCCUGCGACGAGCAGUUCGAAUCAAGGCUUUGCAAGGUGGAUUAAGUCGUAACAAGGUAGCCGUACGGGAACGUGCGGCUG
rnacentral:rRNA from 1 species